AUGGAAGAGUUCAAUGGAAGUGUGAUCAAGAGGAGUAGUACAUUUCCUGAGCUGCGGACCGUGUCUUGGAUGAUCUUCCUCUGUCCUACACCAAUUAUUCGGUUCCACUUGCUUCCCUCGAGGCUGAAGAACUCCAACAGGUGUGAGUCCAACGAUGCUAAUACAACAUGGACUCCACCACCAGAGGGCUCAGCAAUGCUCAUUGUUGACGCAACAAUCUUCAGUCAAUCCAGGCGCAUGGGUGCUGGAUACAUCCUGCGUGACCAUGGAGCUAUUCUAGAGCACACAACGCAGUAUUGUCAUCGUGUCUGA
rnacentral:rRNA from 1 species